GAUGAACGCUCGCGGCAGGCCUAACACAUGCAAGUCGAGGGGUAGAAGGAGCUUGCUCCUUUGAGACCGGCGCACGGGUGCGUAACGCGUAUGCAAUCUACCUUGUACAGGGGAAUAGCCCAGAGAAAUUUGGAUUAAUGCCCCAUAGUAUAUAACCUUCGCAUGUUGGUUAUAUUAAAGUUCCAACGGUACAAGAUGAGCAUGCGUCCCAUUAGUUAGUUGGUAAGGUAACGGCUUACCAAGACGAUGAUGGGUAGGGGUCCUGAGAGGGAGAUCCCCCACACUGGUACUGAGACACGGACCAGACUCCUACGGGAGGCAGCAGUGAGGAAUAUUGGUCAAUGGUCGCAAGACUGAACCAGCCAUGCCGCGUGCAGGAAGACGGUCCUAUGGAUUGUAAACUGCUUUUAUACAGGAAGAAACCCUCCCACGUGUGGGAGCUUGACGGUACUGUAGGAAUAAGAAUCGGCUAACUCCGUG
rnacentral:rRNA from 1 species